UACGGAGGAUCCAAGCGUUAUCCGGAUUUAUUGGGUUUAAAGGGUGCGUAGGCGGCCUAUUAAGUCAGGGGUGAAAGACGGUAGCUUAACUAUCGCAGUGCCCUUGAUACUGAUGGGCUUGAAUGUACUUGAGGUAGGCGGAAUGUGACAAGUAGCGGUGAAAUGCAUAGAUAUGUCACAGAACACCAAUUGCGAAGGCAGCUUACUAAAGUAUGAUUGACGCUGAGGCACGAAAGCGUGGGGAUCAAACAG
rnacentral:rRNA from 1 species